rnacentral:rRNA from 2 species
AAUGGCUCAUUAAAUCAGUUAUCGUUUAUUUGAUAGUACCUACCCACUACUUGGAUAACCGUGGUAAUUCUAGAGCUAAUACAUGCUAAAAACCCCGACUUCGGGAGGGGUGUAUUUAUUAGAUAAAAAACCAAUGCCCCUCGGGGCUCCUUGGUGAUUCAUGAUAACUUAACGGAUCGCAUGGCCUUGCGCCGGCGACGGUUCAUUCAAAUUUCUGCCCUAUCAACUUUCGAUGGUAAGGUAUUGGCUUACCAUGGUAGCAACGGGUAACGGGGAAUUAGGGUUCGAUUCCGGAGAGGGAGCCUGAGAAACGGCUACCACAUCCAAGGAAGGCAGCAGGCGCGCAAAUUACCCAAUCCCGACUCGGGGAGGUAGUGACAAUAAAUACUGAUACAGGGCUCUUUUGGGUCUUGUAAUCGGAAUGAGUACAAUUUAAACCCCUUAACGAGGAACAAUUGGAGGGCAAGUCUGGUGCCAGCAGCCGCGGUAAUUCCAGCUCCAAUAGCGUAUAUUAAAGUUGUUGCAGUUAAAAAGCUCGUAGUUGAACCUUGGGCCUGGCUGGCCGGUCCGCCUCACCGCGUGUACUGGUCCGGCCGGGCCUUUCCUUCUGGAGAGCCGCAUGCCCUUCACUGGGUGUGUCGGGGAACCAGGACUUUUACUUUGAAAAAAUUAGAGUGUUCAAAGCAGGCCUUUGCUCGAAUACGUUAGCAUGGAAUAAUAGAAUAGGACGUGCGGUCCUAUUUUGUUGGUUUCUAGGACCGCCGUAAUGAUUAAUAGGGAUAGUCGGGGGCAUCAGUAUUCAAUUGUCAGAGGUGAAAUUCUUGGAUUUAUUGAAGACUAACUACUGCGAAAGCAUUUGCCAAGGAUGUUUUCAUUAAUCAGUGAACGAAAGUUAGGGGAUCGAAGACGAUCAGAUACCGUCGUAGUCUUAACCGUAAACUAUGCCGACUAGGGAUCGGGCGAUGUUUCUAUCUUGACUCGCUCGGCACCU